GGCAACCCGCCGCGGGCGGGGCUGUAGCGGCGAGGGAGGGGCCGAAUGGCCGUGUGGGCAUCCUGGUGCGGGGAUAGGAGAGAGCGAGGGGGUGAACCACCUACGAUCUUUAACUGAUCAGCAACUGUUGUGAGGUCCUUUUGCUCCUUGCUGAUCAAGGGUUUGCAACUGGUUGCUGGACUUUCCCAUUGGCAGACCUCCAUCCCCCUCCAUCGAGAGCAUCUACACUAGGCGCUGCCUCAAGAAGACGGUAUAUAUCAUCAAGAAUCCUCACCAUAAGGGCCGUGCCCUCUUCUCACUGCUACCGUCAGGCAGGAUGUACAGGAGCCAGAAGUCCCACACCACCAGAUUCAGAAACAGCUAUUUUCCUGCAACCAUCAGGUUAUUGAACCAACCCACACAACCCUAAACCUACGUUGGCACAGAACACUACUGGUGUAAAUGGGAUAUGUUGGACAGUGUGGCCAAGUUGGGCCGAAUGGCCUGUUUCCAUGACCUAUGACUAUAUAUGGACCACCUCUUGGACGUGGAGUUGGCUUUUUUUCAUAAUUAUAUUUUUGAACAAAUUACUCUUUUUUUUCUGCUCCAGUACCUGUGUAAAUGUAAUUGGGUCAGUCUCCACAUCCUUCAGGCAUCGAUGUCUGGCCCCCGCGCGUUAAGUUCCUUUUCUUACUCCCUCAUCCGCCUUCCAAUUAAGCCGUCAGAAAUUGUUACCUUCUAUUGAUGGCUCUUUGCCCUAAAAUAUGGACUCUAUUUAUCUCUCCACAAACCCUGCCUGACCUGCCGAGUGUUUCCAACACUUCUCGGUUUUAUCUCAGAUCAUAUUCUAGAAAAUUUGCAUUUGUUGAUCGGAUGGGCCAACAGCUUUGAAUAAACCAACAUAAUUCCAAGUUAUUAUUGAUGCUGGAGUUACCCAGCAUGGGAGUAAGAGCAGCCACACAGUGAGGGGUAAGCAUGGGGAGUGAGUGUGGUGAAAUGGUGCGGGUCUCCGCAGAGUCUGAUCACUUCACAUCUAUUUGUGUUUUUCAAAUCACACAAGUGCUUUCACCCAAUGUGUUUAUUUUUUCUCCUGUGCUGCCUAUUGUGCUCACGUAUGUUAUGAUUCGCUGGGUAGCAUGCAAAAGAAAAGUUUUCACUGUAUCUCAGUACACGUGAUAAUAACAAACCAAUAACAAAUAAACUGAUCACUAAAUAGUAUCCAGAGUCACAGGAGACCCGACCAAACUCUACUCCCUGGGCAGGCUGCUUCUAAACACCAAAUGUUGAGAAAAUUCAACUCCACCACAUAAAGGUUUAUGAUUGUAAACGUGCCACCGAUCUUGGUUCUGGCCACCUUGAUAAGAUUAGUGUACUCUCCAUUGUAUUUCUCUCGAACAAAUCUGAUUUAUUGGCUGCUUUAUUGGAUUAAACCUUUCAACAA